AACUAUUUCAGUUUUAGUUGUUACUUCAGGAAAACACCAUCUCUCCUCUGAUUGCAUUCGGAUGCUAUUAUGCAUAAGGCGUUUGUGAGUAAUCCUGCCUCAAGGACAGAGUUUCAUUCCUCGGAGGAAGGAUAUGUUGCCAUGUGAGAACUGAUCCAAAGCUCACUGAAUCACAAAGAAAGAAUCCCAUCCAUGUCAGUGGAGUUUGCAUCAAUCCUGAAAUGUCAACAGAUGACCACUAAGUUACAGCUCCAGGGCUCCCGGAUGACAGCUGCCUUGACAAUGGCCAGAUGAGCAAGCAAGGAUACCAGAAGUGAAGCUGUGUGCAUCUCUUGCCUCUGUAAGGGUAAAAGGAACUCUUGGUCACAUCCCAACCAUGGAAAUAUCUCAAUAGUUUCAGUGUAUGAGAGAUAGAUACAAUAACAAAUAGAACAGUGAUUUUUACACCUAUGCUACAUAAUCAUUUAGCCACUUCUUCAGUUGCACAACAGAACUUUGCACUCUUUUGGAGUUUUGUUCUGCAGAGUGAAGAACAAGAGCAGUAGCUUUCAAUUAUUUUACAGGCACUGCAAUGUGGCAGCAAUGGAUUGCAGACAAUCAUGAGCCGAGUUUGAAACAGACAGCUCUAGUGCCUACAACAGGAUAAAGUGGCACAGGGAGGUCAGCACUUUAAUGCCAAGUAGGUUGUAUUUUGCCUCCCAAGCAACAUGGUCACAUGUGGAACUCCACAUAACCAUGGCUUCAAGCAUCCAGCUUUGCUAGCUUAUAUACCACUUUGCUGCAAUGAAGAGAUAUGGAAGCUACAAAGGAGGCCUAGCAAGGAGCAUUUCAUAUGCAGGCUUGAGGAUACUUAAAUAGAGUUGACUUCAAAUUGUUCUUUUGGGGGAAAAAAAAAAAAAGACAACUAAAUCAGGAGAAAACAGGAUGUAUCUGAAUUGUUCUGACAAAUUCUUAAUGAUAAUUGAAAAUAUUUUAAGUUGAAACAACUCCUUUUCCUCUCCUGCUCCUUCAAGCUCUCUAAGGCUGUGUUUAGAAAACACUGAAGUCAAACUGACCAGUUGGUAAAUGGGGGGUUCUGAAAUUAGUGAGGCUGAACCUCAGCUGAAGUUGUCUAAGCCAUUGGUUGCUGGCUUUGAAUUUGUUCUCAUAAAGUUGCUCACAGCAGCGACACAUUUGGAAAUGCAGAGAUGACUUAAGAAAAGGGUUAUAAAAGACUUUACUAAUGAAUGUGUGUCACAACUGCUUUGGCUCUUGUUCCCAUAGCAUACUUCCAACAAAAUCAAAUGUAGAUUCCUAAGGGCAUAAGUUGGAAGUCAUCCUGCCUCAAAGAGCUUGGACCUCUCUCUUAAGUAGGACAGAACUCUGCUGAGACCUCACAGAAGUAUUGACUGCAAAUGACUGUGGGCAACAAUUUCAAAGAACCUUCAGAGAUUUACUUGUAUAGUUAUUGUCUCUUAAGAGAGAGUUAUUAGGUACAGUUGCUUUAUUCAUGAAUCUCAGAAUUAAUUUUAAUCCAGCAUUCUAAUAAGUGUUCAAGGCAUUUUACUUCAUCGUUUUCAGGUCUUGUCCCCUAGACAAAAAGGUCUAUUUUUAACUUGUACCACUUCAAUCAAGUUACAACCUGAAAUUAGUAAUACAACUCAACCUACUAACUGGUGCAUGGAAUAGUUAAGAGGUCACAGUAAAUGCCAGCAGCACUUUCUGUAAAACAAAUACACAACAAGCAAAGACAAGACCAGUCAGUAAAUAAAGGUGAGUUGAAAUCAACUUUGUUGGAAAGGAGAAGUGUUAUAAUGAAAUUACAGUGCUUUGUAAGACUUAAAGUGAUGUCCACCAUAAAAGAUAAAAUUAAUUUACUGGAAAUAAACUUGUGAAUAUGAGUACCAUUUUGUGAAAGGCCAAGUUCUGACAUUUAGUAAAGCUGUAAAAAUGUUUUUGAAAGCAGCCCUUCAUUGUGAUUAUCACUGUUCUUAUGCAUUAAAAUUGAAAGAACUAAGAAAGACCAAAAAGGACUGAAAGAGUAAAAUAUUUUGCAAUUUCGAAGUAUUUGAUACAUUGAAGCUUUAAGAUGUUUUAAUACUCCUUGCUCUGCAAACAUGCUUCAGUUUGUUAAUAAAGAAAUGUUCUGAUACAAAGCAUCCACGAGGAUUAACAUGCAAAUAAAAUGCAUAUGAC
rnacentral:lncRNA from 7 species